UACGGGAGGCUGCAGUCGAGAAUCUUCCGCAAUGCCCGAAAGGGUGACGGAGCGACGCCGCGUGUGGGAAGAAGGCCUUCGGGUUGUAAAGCACUGUCAGGGAAGUAGGAAAUCCCGUAGGGUUAAUAGCGCACUUGCUUGACUAAGGCUCCAGAGGAAGCACCGGCUAAAUCCGUGCCAGCAGCCGCGGUAAUACGGAUGGUGCAAGCGUUAUUCGGAAUCACUGGGCAUAAAGAGCACGUAGGUGGCUGCGUAAGUCAGUGGUGAAAUCCCUCGGCUCAACCGAGGAACUGCCAUUGAUACUGCAGGGCUUGAGUACGGGAGGGGAGAGUGGAAUUCCAGGUGGAGCGGUGAAAUUGCAGAUAUCUGGAGGAACGCCGGAGGCGAAAGCGGUCUGCUGGCCCACGACUGACGCUGAAUGUGCGAAAGCUAGGGGAGCAAACAGGAUUAGAUACCCUGGUAGUCCUAGCCGUAAACGAUGGGCACUAAGUAGAGGGGCUCCCAUUAUUUCUCUGCCGUAGCUAAUGCAUUAAGUGCCCCGCCUGGGGAGUAU
rnacentral:rRNA from 1 species